GCUGUUGCCACCGUCUUUUAACCACAAAGAGAUGAGGUUAGGACCCAAACCAACACCCUGAGGACAGCAGAGCAGAAUUAUGAAAAGAAUCUAGCAUUUGAGGUUGUUGAGCCACUAAAUUAACCAACCCUGGACCUGCCAUCUCUCAGACUAUUCUUCCCUUGAGAAAAUAUCAUCCUUUACUGUUUAAGCCAGUUUCGGGUAAGUGUUUUUUCCUUAUGGCCAAAAAUCUAAACAAGAGAGAAAGAGCCAACGUUGAUCAGAAGAUUACCAAACAAGCAAGGACUCCAGGCGAGAAAUGUGUUGAAAAGACUGUUUCAGGAAUGCCUGGAAAGUAAGUCUAUGUCCCUCAUACAUGUCCCCCCAUACCCACCCGAGUUGUGGAGAAAGGAAAACGCUUCCAGUGAAGAUUCUAUGUCUGGUUAUACUGACGGUUGUUCUUGAAAAGAAAGAAGAAAAAGAACAUAAUAUACCUUGUAAGAAAUACAACAUAAAAAUUUAAGAAUGGAAUUUUAUUUGUGAAACGUUUAAAUUUCUGUAAGAAUUUUCUUAACACUAGGUGUUUUAAAGAACUCAAACUUGAGUUUCUGAAUGAGAUCAUGGAAGUGAAAACACCUGCACUCUCUGAAGAAUGCUUAUUUAUACAAAAUCAAGGAGCCUCAACGCGUCAGGAGUCCAGCUGAACAUUUCCCUGCCUACAAGGCAGCCAGUACCUAGGACUGGGAACUGAGAA